CGCGGCCUAUCAGCUUGUUGGUGAGGUAACGGCUCACCAAGGCAUCGACGGGUAGCUGGUCUGAGAGGACGAUCAGCCACACUGGGACUGAGACACGGCCCAGACUCCUACGGGAGGCAGCAGUAGGGAAUCUUGCGCAAUGGGGGCAACCCUGACGCAGCAACGCCGCGUGUGGGAUGACGGCUUUCGGGUUGUAAACCACUUUCAGUGAUGACGAAAAUGACGGUAAUCACAGAAGAAGGUCCGGCCAACUACGUGCCAGCAGCCGCGGUAACACGUAGGGACCGAGCGUUGUCCGGAUUUAUUGGGCGUAAAGAGCUCGUAGGCGGUUCUGUAAGUCGGAUGUGAAAACUCAGGGCUCAACCCUGAGACGCCAUCUGAUACUGCAGUGACUAGAGUCCGGUAGAGGAAGAUGGAAUUCCUGGUGUAGCGGUGGAAUGCGCAGAUAUCAGGAGGAACACCAGCGGCGAAGGCGGCACUCUGGGCCGGUACUGACGCUGAGGAGCGAAAGCAUGGGGAGCAAACAGGAUUAGAUACCCUGGUAGUCCAUGCCGUAAACGUUGGGCACUAGGUAUGGGAUCAUAUCAACGGAUUCCGUGCCGUAGCUAACGCAUUAAGUGCCCCGCCUGGGGAGUACGG
rnacentral:rRNA from 1 species